UACGUAGGGUGCGAGCGUUAAUCGGAAUUACUGGGCGUAAAGCGUGCGCAGGCGGUUAUUUAAGUCAGGUGUGAAAGCCCUGGGCUUAACCUAGGAAUUGCGCUUGAGACUGGAUAGCUUGGAGUGCGGCAGAGGGAGGUGGAAUUCCACGUGUAGCAGUGAAAUGCGUAGAUAUCAGGAGGAACACCGAUGGCGAAGGCAGGUCUCUGGGCUGACACUGACGCUCAUGCACGAAAGCGUGGGGAGCAAACAGG
rnacentral:rRNA from 1 species